UACGUAGGUGGCAAGCGUUGUCCGGAAUUAUUGGGCGUAAAGCGCGCGCAGGCGGUUUCUUAAGUCUGAUGUGAAAGCCCACGGCUCAACCGUGGAAGGUCAUUGGAAACUGGGGAACUUGAGUGCAGAAGAGAAGAGCGGAAUUCCACGUGUAGCGGUGAAAUGCGUAGAGAUGUGGAGGAACACCAGUGGCGAAGGCGGCUCUUUGGUCUGUAACUGACGCUGAGGCGCGAAAGCGUGGGGAUCAAACAGG
rnacentral:rRNA from 1 species